rnacentral:rRNA from 1 species
CUGCCCGGUGCUCGAAGGUUAAUUGAUGGGGUUAGCAUUAGCGAAGCUCUUGAUCGAAGCCCGAGUAAACGGCGGCCGUAACUAUAACGGUCCUAAGGUAGCGAAAUUCCUUGUCGGUUAAAUACCGACCUGCAUGAAUGGCGUAACGAGAUGGGAGCUGUCUCAAAGAGGGAUCCAGUGAAAUUGUAGUGGAGGUGAAAAUUCCUCCUACCCGCGGCAAGACGGAGAGACCCCGUGGACCUUUACUAUAGCUUGACACUGCUAUUUGGAUAAAGAUGUGCAGGAUAGGUGGGAGGCUUUGAAGCUAGGACGCCAGUUCUAGCAGAGCCAUUGUUGAGAUACCACUCUUCUUUAUUUGGGUAGCUAACCAGCUUGAGUUAUCCUCAAGUGGGACAAUGUCUGGUGGGUAGUUUGACUGGGGCGGUCGCCUCCCAAAUAAUAACGGAGGCUUACAAAGGUUGGCU